GAUGAACGCUGGCGGCGUGCCUAAUACAUGCAAGUCGAGCGAACGGACGAGAAGCUUGCUUCUCUGAUGUUAGCGGCGGACGGGUGAGUAACACGUGGAUAACCUACCUAUAAGACUGGGAUAACUUCGGGAAACCGGAGCUAAUACCGGAUGAUAUUUUGAACCGCAUGGUUCAAAAGUGAAAGACGGUCUUGCUGUCACUUAUAGAUGGAUCCGCGCUGCAUUAGCUAGUUGGUAAGGUAACGGCUUACCAAGGCAACGAUGCAUAGCCGACCUGAGAGGGUGAUCGGCCACACUGGAACUGAGACACGGUCCAGACUCCUACGGGAGGCAGCAGUAGGGAAUCUUCCGCAAUGGGCGAAAGCCUGACGGAGCAACGCCGCGUGAGUGAUGAAGGUCUUCGGAUCGUAAAACUCUGUUAUUAGGGAAGAACAUAUGUGUAAGUAACUGUGCACAUCUUGACGGUACCUAAUCAGAAAGCCACGGCUAACUACGUGCCAGCAGCCGCGGUAAUACGUAGGUGGCAAGCGUUAUCCGGAAUUAUUGGGCGUAAAGCGCGCGUAGGCGGUUUUUUAAGUCUGAUGUGAAAGCCCACGGCUCAACCGUGGAGGGUCAUUGGAAACUGGAAAACUUGAGUGCAGAAGAGGAAAGUGGAAUUCCAUGUGUAGCGGUGAAAUGCGCAGAGAUAUGGAGGAACACCAGUGGCGAAGGCGACUUUCUGGUCUGUAACUGACGCUGAUGUGCGAAAGCGUGGGGAUCAAACAGGAUUAGAUACCCAGGUAGUCCACGCCGUAAACGAUGAGUGCUAAGUGUUAGGGGGUUUCCGCCCCUUAGUGCUGCAGCUAACGCAUUAAGCACUCCGCCUGAGGAGUACGACCGCAAGGUUGAAACUCAAAGGAAUUGACGGGGACCCGCACAAGCGGUGGAGCAUGUGGUUUAAUUCGAAGCAACGCGAAGAACCUUACCAAAUCUUGACAUCCUUUGACAACUCUAGAGAUAGAGCCUUCCCCUUCGGGGGACAAAGUGACAGGUGGUGCAUGGUUGUCGUCAGCUCGUGUCGUGAGAUGUUGGGUUAAGUCCCGCAACGAGCGCAACCCUUAAGCUUAGUUGCCAUCAUUAAGUUGGGCACUCUAAGUUGACUGCCGGUGACAAACCGGAGGAAGGUGGGGAUGACGUCAAAUCAUCAUGCCCCUUAUGAUUUGGGCUACACACGUGCUACAAUGGACAAUACAAAGGGCAGCGAAACCGCGAGGUCAAGCAAAUCCCAUAAAGUUGUUCUCAGUUCGGAUUGUAGUCUGCAACUCGACUACAUGAAGCUGGAAUCGCUAGUAAUCGUAGAUCAGCAUGCUACGGUGAAUACGUUCCCGGGUCU
rnacentral:rRNA from 1 species